rnacentral:rRNA from 1 species
GCGUGGCGCGCCCUCCCCCACGAAGCGCGGCGCCGCGGGAGUUGUUGCUGCUGCAAGGGAUGCCAUUGCCAUGGCCGUGCCCUUCGCCAUGGCCGAACGCGACGGGACUGAGCACCGGCGCUACUACGACAGGGGGCCAUGGCCUGCGAGCUCACAGGCCAGGGGCGGCCAUGGCUUACGAGCUUGAGUUUUGUUUUUUUCCUACUACCGGCACUGUCGUUUGUUACAUCCUUUUUUAUGAGAUUGUCGAGACCCUGCGCUUGUGUGUUUUGCUACAACCUUGUACAGUUUUUGCUACAACCUUCUGUAUUUUUUGCUACUACUGGAGAAGCCCCUAGCUGAACCACAAGUUAUUUUUGCUACAACCGUUUUGUGGUUUGCUGCAACCAGUGUCAAUUUUUGCUACCACCGACUUCUUUGAUUUUUCUGGAACCAACGCUCGCUUUUUUAUUUUUGCUACCAGAUUUGCUGGAACAAGCUUCAAUUUUUGCUACCAUCAGGUUUUGGUUUGUUGGAGCGUCGUUGAUUUUUUCUAAUUUUGCUACCAACGUUUUAUUAAUUUUUGCUGGAACCGUCAAGAAUUUUUGCUACGACCGGUGGAAUUUUUUGCUGCGACCAGCAAAUUAAGGACGAGGAACAACACGAGCUCUACAACGGGUGCUGCGGCCGGCGACGUGAGGCUCCGCGAGCCGCGGGGGCGUCGCCGGAGAUGCGCCGCGGGGGCGUUGCUGGAGCUGGGCCUUGCCGGAGAUGCGCCGCGGGGGCCUUGCUGGAGCUGGGCCUCGCCGGAGAUGCGCCGCGGGGGCCUUGCUGGAGCUGGGCCUCGCCGGAGAUGCGCCGCGGGGGCCUUUGCUGGAGCUGCGAGGUGCUGCGAGCCGCGGGGGAUCUCGCCGAAGAUGCGCCGUGCCGCGAGCCGCAGGGGAUCUCGCCGGAGAUGCGCCACGGGGCCCGAGGAAGAAGAAGCUGGGGCGAUUUUUUAUUUUUUUGGCUCCAGAUCCAACCGCCGCGCGGCUCGCAUCGAGCGGCUAUGGCUGGACCGGCCGAAGUUUCGGCCGGUGCGCCGGCGCCUAGCGGUGCCCUUUUAGAAACGCCACAGCGCGUGACGUUGCUGCUCCACAUGAAAACGCCAAGCCAGCUAGCGUUGCUGCACCACAUGAAACGCCGAGAUAGCUCGCGUUGCUAAUCCGGCCCACCGCCAGGCCUCGCUGACGUGGCAGAGCAAGAAACGCCACAAGUAAUGGCGUUUCCACUGCUUACUCCAACACCAACAUACCUGGUGUUUGAUGUGAAAGCUUACUUUCUACCUUGUUUAUUUUAUUUCUUUUCCACUAGCCCCACGCCCCCCACAACAUGCAUGAAUAGUGUAAUGGGCAGAAAAAUAUAAUAUUUUGCUAGUUUUUGUAUAAAAGAGACACAUUCAGGGAAUGUUCAAUUGUACAAUGCGAAAAUUCACGGUGGCACGCAAACAUCAAGACCUGCCGGGCUGCUUGAUUGCCUCGCGAUUCGCAAAGUAGUCAAGUCUUGCACAGGGCCACAAAUAAGUUUUAAGUUCCAA